CAUGUCAAAUAUGGAAACAAACGGACUUCCCCCAAAAACCAAUUAUCUACUGCCCAAAAUUCUUCCGCCCAAAAACCAAAUUUUUUUCCACUGAAUCGCAGAAUCUCUCUACAACGCUGAUUCAUUCUAAAUCCAACUUCACGGCUCAAGGUGCUCUCUACAACGCUGAUUGUUGUCAAACACUGAUUUUGGUGGGAGAAAAGCUUUGGUUUCGUGGAGCUGUUGCAUUUUAGUUACUUUUUGGAUUUUAUGUUGGAGAGAAGUAGAAGAAUUUCUUAAAAUGCUAUUAAAGAUGAGGAUGAUUUCUGUUCCCUUUGUUAUUCAGAAACAUGCUGAUUUUGCAACCACGGGAAUGUUAUUGGCGAAGCGCUGUAUUCAUGCUACAGGAUCUUGCUACUCCAAUCAGCGAGACUACUACGAAGUUCUUGGUGUUCCUAAAAAUGCGAGCCAGGAUGAGAUAAAAAAGGCGUUUCAUGCCAU